GAGUUUGAUCAUGGCUCAGAUUGAACGCUGGCGGCAGGCCUAACACAUGCAAGUCGAACGGUAACAGGAAGAAGCUUGCUUCUUUGCUGACGAGUGGCGGACGGGUGAGUAAUGUCUGGGAAACUGCCUGAUGGAGGGGGAUAACUACUGGAAACGGUAGCUAAUACCGCAUAACGUCGCAAGACCAAAGAGGGGGACCUUCGGGCCUCUUGCCAUCGGAUGUGCCCAGAUGGGAUUAGCUAGUAGGUGGGGUAACGGCUCACCUAGGCGACGAUCCCUAGCUGGUCUGAGAGGAUGACCAGCCACACUGGAACUGAGACACGGUCCAGACUCCUACGGGAGGCAGCAGUGGGGAAUAUUGCACAAUGGGCGCAAGCCUGAUGCAGCCAUGCCGCGUGUAUGAAGAAGGCCUUCGGGUUGUAAAGUACUUUCAGCGGGGAGGAAGGGAGUAAAGUUAAUACCUUUGCUCAUUGACGUUACCCGCAGAAGAAGCACCGGCUAACUCCGUGCCAGCAGCCGCGGUAAUACGGAGGGUGCAAGCGUUAAUCGGAAUUACUGGGCGUAAAGCGCACGCAGGCGGUUUGUUAAGUCAGAUGUGAAAUCCCCGGGCUCAACCUGGGAACUGCAUCUGAUACUGGCAAGCUUGAGUCUCGUAGGGGGGGGUAGAAUUCCAGGUGUAGCGGUGAAAUGCGUAGAGAUCUGGAGGAAUACCGGUGGCGAAGGCGGCCCCCUGGACGAAGACUGACGCUCAGGUGCGAAAGCGUGGGGAGCAAACAGGAUUAAAUACCCUGGUAGUCCACGCCGUAAACGAUGUCGACUUGGAGGUUGUGCCCUUGAGGCGUGGCUUCCGGAGCUAACGCGUUAAGUCGACCGCCUGGGGAAUACGGCCGCAAGGUUAAAACUCAAAUGAAUUGACGGGGGCCCGCACAAGCGGUGGAGCAUGUGGUUUAAUUCGAUGCAACGCGAAGAACCUUACCUGGUCUUGACAUCCACGGAAGUUUUCAGAGAUGAGAAUGUGCCUUCGGGAACCGUGAGACAGGUGCUGCAUGGCUGUCGUCAGCUCGUGUUGUGAAAUGUUGGGUUAAGUCCCGCAACGAGCGCAACCCUUAUCCUUUGUUGCCAGCGGUCCGGCCGGGAACUCAAAGGAGACUGCCAGUGAUAAACUGGAGGAAGGUGGGGAUGACGUCAAGUCAUCAUGGCCCUUACGACCAGGGCUACACACGUGCUACAAUGGCGCAUACAAAGAGAAGCGACCUCGCGAGAGCAAGCGGACCUCAUAAAGUGCGUCGUAGUCCGGAUUGGAGUCUGCAACUCGACUCCAUGAAGUCGGAAUCGCUAGUAAUCGUGGAUCAGAAUGCCACGGUGAAUACGUUCCCGGGCCUUGUACACACCGCCCGUCACACCAUGGGAGUGGGUUGCAAAAGAAGUAGGUAGCUUAACCUUCGGGAGGGCGCUUACCACUUUGUGAUUCAUGACUGGGGUGAAGUCGAAACAAGGUA
rnacentral:rRNA from 1 species